CUCUUUGGGGCGGGGUGAAAAUCCCCACCGGCGGUAAAGCCCGCGAGCCGCAAGGCACGAUCCGGUGAGAUUCCGGAGCCGACAGUAUAGUCUGGAUGAGAAAAGGC
rnacentral:ncRNA from 1 species